GCAGAUUGCUUCCUUGCUGCACGUUUGUGAGCAAGUAAAUUGUUUUUGUUUCUUCCUCCUUUGUUCUCUGUUUUGUUCUUUUUCUAAGAGCUGCUGCCAUUGUUCUUUCUUUUUCUUUUUUCUUCCUGUUAACCGAGAGCUUAUGCUCUUGAUGCUUUGUGUUUCUGCUUGCUGUUUGAAGAGCUUAUGCUCUUAGUGUUUCAUUGUUUGGUUGCUGCUGCCAAAUGUUCCAACACAAGCUCGUAGUUCAUGUUCAAAAGAAAGAAAAGAGGAAUAAAAAUUAUGGACAAGUUUUUAUGAUGCGUGUGGCCCGAAUGUUUGAAAAACAAGUAAAGAAGGUAGAGUUAUUGAAGCACCUUUCUCUUUAACUAGUUGAUGUACUUGAACCUCUUUUCUUGCUUUAAUAUAUUCCAUAACAUGUAGAAGGUCUAGUGAAUCAAAAGUCAUACAAUUUCACAAAGCUGACUCAUGAAUUAUUGUUUUUUAAGGGACCCCAUUAAAUAGAUCUCAUAAAUUUAAAGGCAAGUAAAGGAAGAAAAUGGGAAGAAUAUGGCCUAAGGAAUCUAGAAAAAGAAGAGAAACAAAAGGAACUAGUCAACAUCCAACUAAAGAAUAAUGGAAAAUUUCUUCAGAUGUAAUAUUACGUCAAGGCACAGUCCCACAGUUGUGAAAAUGAUGUUAGCAAUAUGUCACAAAUUAAACUUUAAAUUAUCCUUAUCAUCUGGUCUUUUUUACCGUAAGAAAAAAAACAAGCAUGAAACACCUCAUGUUCAAAUGACAGUAGAAUGUUUUUCCAGCAUAAGCAUCAGUGGGUGAAAGAUACACAAGUUUGAUAAAGACCUGCCUCUAGAAACCAUGUUGUACCCUUCAAGCGAGAUAAAGGUAAGUAUUGC
rnacentral:lncRNA from 1 species